CGAGUGAAGAGGGAAAAGCUCAAAUUUAAAAUCUGGCAGCUUCGCUGUCCGAGUUGUAAUUUAGAGAAGUGUUGCCCGUGUUGGACCGUGUAUAAGUCUCCUGGAAUGGUGCGUCAUAGAGGGUGAGAAUCCCGUCUUUGACACGGACUACCAAUACAUUGUGGUACGCUCUCAAAGAGUCGUGUUGUUUGGGAAUGCAGCACUAAAUGGGUGGUAAAUUCCAUCUAAAGCUAAAUAUUGGCGAGAGACCGAUAGCGAACAAGUACCGUGAGGGAAAGAUGAAAAGAACUUUGGAAAGAGAGUUAAACAGUACGUGAAAUUGUUGAAAGGGAAACGUUUGAAGUCAGUCGCGUCGGCUGGGAAUCAGUCUUGCUUUUGCUUGAUGUACUUUCUAGUCGACGGGUCAGCAUCAGUUUUGACUGCUGGAUAAAGGUUGAGGGAAUGUGGCACCUUCGGGUGUGUUAUAGCCCUUGGUCAUAUACAGUGGUUGGGACUGAGGUACUCAGCACGCCGCAAGGCCGGGUUUCGACCACGUUCGUGCUUAGGAUGCUGGCAUAAUGGCUUUAAGCGACCCGUCUUGAAACACGGACCAAGGAGUCUAACAUGCCUGCGAGUAUUUGGGUGGAAAACCCGAGUGCGUAAUGAAAGUGAAAGUUGAGAACUCUUUAGAGUGCAUCGACGCCCGGACCAGACGUUUUCUGACGGAUCCGC
rnacentral:rRNA from 1 species